rnacentral:rRNA from 1 species
UACGUAGGUGGCAAGCGUUGUCCGGAUUUAUUGGGCGUAAAGCGAGUGCAGGCGGCUCGAUAAGUCUGAUGUGAAAGCCUUCGGCUCAACCGGAGAAUUGCAUCAGAAACUGUCGAGCUUGAGUACAGAAGAGGAGAGUGGAACUCCAUGUGUAGCGGUGAAAUGCGUAGAUAUAUGGAAGAACACCGGUGGCGAAGGCGGCUCUCUGGUCUGUUACUGACGCUGAGGCUCGAAGGCAUGGGUAGCGAACAGGAUUAGAUACCCUGGUAGUC